CUGGUGAGGAUGUGUUGUACAUGUGGCUCAUAUAGAGUGGAACACAAGCCCUGGAUCAAAUGGGCCGAUGAUGGGUCCUCAAACUCAGCUAGUGUUGUAGAAGGAGACUCGGAUUCUGGAGAUGGAGAUAUGUUAUCAGUCUCUGCAGGUAAUUCUGUAAAAUUAAAUGACUGUUGGGUACUUGAUUCAGCCUGUUCAUAUCACAUGUGUCCUCACCGGGAUUGGUUUCAUUCAUAUCGUUCUGGAAAUUUUGGAUCUGUUCUGAUGGGUAAUGAUGCAUCAUGUAAGGUCAUUGGAAUGGGGUCUAUAAAAUUUAAAAUGUUCGAUGGUGUGAUAAGGACCUUGGAAAAUGUUAGGCAUGUACCUGAGUUGAAAAAGAAUCUAAUUUCUUUAGGCACUUUAGACACAAACGGUUACUCUUAUAAGUCAGAGUGUGGGGCUCUAACAGUGAAGAAAGGGGCUAUGAUUGUGAUGAAGGGUCAGAAAUUAGUAGGGAAUAUCUACAAACUACCCAGGGAUACAGUUGUAGGUGGAGUUGUUACAGCAGAAUCAGAGUCAGAUGACACUCUUCUAUGGCAUAUGCAACUGGGGCAUAUAGGAGAACGUGGCAUGAUUGAGCUUCACAAGAGAAAUUUGUUGAAAGGGGUAAAUGAAGAAGUCUUUAUACGGGCUUAAGCAGUCUCCACGGCAAUGGUACAAGAAGUUUGACUCUUAUAUGAUUCAGAUUGGCUACAGUCAUUGUGAGUAUGAUUGUUGCGUAUACUACAGAGUUCUUGAGGAUAACUCAUAUAUUUUCAAAAUACAGUUCAAGAUGGGAAAGUACAAGACAGAGGGAAUUCUUGAUUAUGUGCACUCAGAUGUUUGGGGACCUGUGAGGGAGUUGUCCAAAGGUGGAUCUCAGUACUUUAUUACUUUCAUUGAUGACUUUACUAGAAAAGUUUGGGUAUAUUUCAUGAAGCACAAGUCUGAAGCCUUUGCCAAGUUCAAACUAUGGAAAGCAGAAGUAGAGAACCAGAUGGGCAGAAAAAUUAAGUAUCUGAGGACAGAUAACGGUACAGAGUAUACAGAUUCACAGUUUCUGAGAUUUUGUGAGGAACAUGGUAUUCAGCGGCACUAUACAGCUCGCAAGACACCGCAACAGAAUGGUGUUGCGGAAAGGAUGAACCCAAAGAGUGAAGAAGAUGUUGCAGAGAUGUCAAAGGUACCUUAUGCCAGUGCAGUUGGAUGUUUGAUGUAUGCAAUGGUGUGUACCAGACCAGAUUUAGCACAUGCAGUCAGUGUGGUUAGUAAGUAUAUGGCUAAUCCUGGUAGAGAGCAUUGGAGAGCUGUAAAGUGGAUUUUCAGGUACUUGAAAGGUACAAUGGAGUGUGGGAUCAUGUUUGAGAGACAACAUGGUGAUAUUUCAGCUCAAGGAUAUGUAGAUGCAGAUUAUGCAGAGGACUUGGAUGACAGAAGGUCCCCUACAGGUUAUGUUUUCACACUCGCAGGUGGGCCCAUAUGUUGGAGGUCAAUGGUGCAAUCAAUUGUGGCAUUAUCUACAACUGAAGCAGAAUACAUGGCGGCAACUGAGGCAGCCAAGGAAUUAUUGUGGUUGAAAGGGCUUGUCAGGGAACUUGGAAUCAAACAAGAUGGAAUGAAGCUGUACUGUGAUAGUCAGAGUGCCAUCUUCCUAGCUAAGAAUCAGAUUUAUCAUGCAAGAACCAAACACAUUGACGUGAGAUUUCAUAAGAUAAGAGAGUUGGUUACUUCAGGAGAGCUGUUGUUAGAGAAGGUGCAUACCUCAGAAAAUGCAGCAGACAUGAUGACAAAGCCAAUCACAAUGGAUAAGUUCAAGCAUUGCUUGAACUUGAUUAACAUCUCUAACUGUUAGAGAAGAUGUGUCCCAACCCAUUGGUCCUAGAUGGUGUGAUUUUUUCCAGGUUAUGUUUUUUCUCCUAAAGGGUGAAUAUUCGCCAAGGUGGAGAUUGUUGUACAUGCGGCUCAUAUAGAGUGGAACACAGGCCCUGGAUCAAAUGGGCUGAUGCCGGCGCGGAGCGGAGCGACGGCAUCGGCCUUGCGCGGGUUUAAUUCACUGUCUGGUUGUUAGGGACGCUCAAUGGGUUGGGGGUGCGGGGGCAACGCCCCCGCGGUACGGUACAGGGGUAUUUUCUGUACGGGCCUUAAAGUUUUAUAUGGGCCCAGAUUAGGGUUAGUAUAAAUAAUAUGUUGUAACCCUAUUUUUCACAACGGAAUAAAGAAAUCUCCGCUUCGCUCUCGUGGACGUAGGCACAUCGCCGAACCACGUAAAAUUCUUGUGUUGAUUUCCGUUUUUCAUCUCUUUAAUAUUGCGCAUAAAAUCCAACAGGAUGUUUCUGAGCCUUUAUUACUCAGUUCUUGUAGGGUCUCAAAAUCGCUUAAGUUGUAUGGCUUUCAGUGUUCUUCUCCUUACAAUGCACUAACAGCCACAUUGUCUUCUAUUACUACUCCCACAAGAUAUACACGGGCUGCCAAGCAUGAGUGUUGGCAACAAGCCAUGCAGGAAGAACUUCGGGCACUAGAGGAUAAUCAUACUGGGAUCUUGUGAAUUGUCCUCCCUCUAUGACACCACUUAGCUGCAAUUAGGUUUAUGCAAUCAAAGUUAAGCCUGAUGGCAGUUUGGAUCGCUACAAGGCUCGCUUAGUUGCUCUUGGGAAUCAUCAGGAGUAUGGUGUGAAUUAUAAGGAGACAUUUGUACCGAUUGCCAAGAUGAAAUUUUUUUUCUAAUUGUUCUUGCAAUUGCUACCUCUCAGACCUAUCUUUACAUCAGAUGGAUGUACAGAAUGCUUUUCUUCAUGAUGAUCUCAAGGAAGCUAUCUACAUGAAACCUCGUCCUGGUCUUCUAUCUUCUCCUACAGUUGUGUGCAAGCUUCGGAAGUCCUUGUAUAGAUUGAAGCAAGCACCUAGGGCGUGGUAUAAUAAGUUUUGCUCUACUUUACAGCAGUAUUUUUUCAGUAAGAGCAAGUAUGAUGCUUCCAUGUUUCUGCACAAGUUCUGCAGGCAUUGUCAUGCUCUUGGUGUAUGUGGAUGAUGUUGUUAUUACUGGUUUGACACUGACUUGAUUGCUAGCUUAAAGGCUCAUUUACAAGCUUUUUUUGCAUGAAAGAUCUUGGUCAUCACACGUAUUUCUUGGGCCUCGAGAUUCAGUAUACUCCUAGUGAUCUUUUUCUUAAUCAGCAUAAAUAUGCCACUGAUUUUGUGGCAUCUGAUGGAUAUAUUGAUAGCUCUACCAGUGACUCUCCUAUAGAGAUGAAUGCUAAGCUACGUAAGGAGGAUGGGAUGCUUCUUCCUAAUCUUUCUCUAUGUUGGACAUUAGUUUGGAGUCUUGUAUACCUUACUAUUACGCGCCCUGACUUAUCAUUUGCAAUCCAAUAAGUCAGCCAGUUCCUUCAAGCUCCUACUCAUCUUCACUUGAUCCCGGUCAAGAGAUUGAUUCGCUAUGUGAAAGGAACUCCUUCUCUUGGUUUGUUCUAUCUUACUAAAUCUUCCAUAGUCGGCUUAUAGUGAUGCGGACUAUGUUGGUUGUGCAGAUACUUGCAGGUUUACUACUAGUUGGUGUAUGUUUCUGGGCACUACUUUGAUUUCUUGGAAGAGUAAGAAACAGGAUCAGGUCUCCAAGUCUUCUACUGAAUCAGAAUACUGUGCAAUGUUCCAAGCUUGCUCUGAGAUUCUAUGGCUUCGUGAUAUACUUGACGAACUUGGUUUCUCUCAGCUCGAUCCCACACCAUUACAUGUUGAUCAUACGAGUGCAAUUCAUAUUACUACUAAUCCUGUAUUCCAUGAGCGUACCAAGUAUUUUGAAGUCAAUUGUCCCUUUAUUUGUGAUGCUUAUGAAGAUAAAGCUAUUUCUCUCCCACACAUCACUAGUGAUUUGCAAUUGGCUGACAUCUUCAGUUUCUUCACUAAAGCUCUUACUUCCAAGCGCCAUCGUUUCUUACUAGACAAAUUGAUGCUUCCAGAUUCCUCUGCAUCAAUUUGAGGGGAUGUCAAUUGGGCGUUAUUAUUUCUCAAAUACUGUGCUGAUUGAAUUUCCAUGUAUAGAGAAUAUGACUGAUCUAGUUUCUAUGUAUAGAGAGAAUGUGGCUGAUCUGGUUUCUAUCUAUAGCUGGUAAAUAUGGUUAUGUGUAUUUCUUUUCUUCUUCUGUACCUGCCUAUGUCUAUAUAAUAUAGAAAACCUACCUCAUUGAGGAGGCACUUCGAAUCAAAUUGACAAGAAUGACAAAGAAUAAUUGUAUUUUAUUGUACUGAAGCUUCUUGUAACUGUAGUUAACAAUCUUUUCAAUCACAAUGCUUGUGUACUUUCAGAUCAAGGAGGAAAAAGAAUGCAUCAAGUGGUGAAAACAUAGAGUCUGUUACUGUAGGUAACUCACUUUCUCUUCAAGGUGAUAUUAAUUUUAAUGAGUGAGAAAUUGCAGCUUAUCUUAGAUUCUGAUCUCUCUCAAAACAGAACAUACUACCUUGCCUAUUAUUGAUGAAGUUGAUGAUCUAUUAAAAUUUGGAUGUAACAAUAAAAUAUUUUUGCAUUUUGGCUGUUAGACAGUCUGAUUCAGUAGAGAACACCCACACUGAACUUAGUUUUGGUUGAGAGCUAGACAAGUACUAUAAUAUGACGUUGUAGUUAGGUGUCAGGCUUGUUUUACUGCAUAUUUUGCUUCUAACUUAAUUGUUUGUUUCCUGUUUAUGACAUUGACUGUUGUUUAAUAAGGUCAAGGGACCAGUGACGGGAAAAGGGCUCUGUACCAUUGCAACUAUUGUAACAAAGACAUCACAGGGAGAAUUCGUAUCAAGUGCGCUUUAUGUUCUGAUUUUGACUUAUGCAUAGAAUGUUUCUCAGUCGGAGCCGAGGUUCAUCCUCACAAAAGCAAUCACCCAUACAGGGUUAUGGUCAGUACUACCAUCUGAAGAUGGUACUUUUACAAAACUUAAUUCAAAGAAUCCACUACCCUAGCUCUGAAGUUAAUUUAUCUUAUCUCAGACGUUUCAGAUAAAUAUGUUAUUCCAUUUGUUUCUACGAGAAUAUAGCAAUUUUUACUAGCAAAACAUUCCAUAUUUUGAUUCCACAAGAAUGUAAAUUCUCUUAGCAGUUAUCUCUUUAUAAAUGGAUUUGCAUGAGAUAUAGUGCUUCAUAUUGUGCAAUUUUUCCGUGGAUUUUGGUUUCCUUUCAAAUUUGCCAGAGAAAGUUCGUUGUACAUUGCAAAGGGAAUAAUGUGCCUUUUAUCAAUCUUUGUCCCAAAUAUAUUGCCAUAUGGAUCAUGUGUUAUAUCUUUCUUAUCCUAUAUUAUGUUUUUCAGUUAUUCUAAGUUUCCAAGUCACACAAGUCUUCCAUACUAAAUAUUGCUGCAAUGCUACCCAAGGGAUGUAUCCCCUGGUAGUUCUUAUGAUUUUGCUACUAUCAUUGGAACAGGACAUCUUAUCAUUUCCUCUCAUCUGUCCGGAUUGGAAUGCUGAUGAAGAAAUGUUACUUUUGGAGGUGUUAUGUAAUCUCCUUUUUAAGUGUUUAUCAUCUCAUUAAUCAGUGAAGUAUUCUUAUUUCUUUUUUGAAAGUGUUAUCUCACUUGGCUUCUGUGUUCUGCUUUGCUUUAUUGUAUAUCACAUAACUAGGGAAUUGAGAUGUAUGGCAUGGGAAACUGGGCAGAAGUUGCUGAGCAUGUUGGGACAAAGACGAAGGAAGUGUGCAUUGAACAUUAUAGGAAUGCUUACCUAAACUCUCCUUGCUUCCCUCUACCGGUACAGUUAGAUGCAAAACUAAGUUAUUUCUAAGAUUUGAUUUUCCUUUCUUGCAACUGACUCAAAACACAUUUGAUUUCUCAGGAUAUGACACAUGUCGUUGGUAAAAAUAGAAAAGAACUGCUUGCUAUGGCUAAAGGGCACCUUGAGGAUAAAAAGGGUAACUUCUCUCUCUCUCUCUCUCUCUCUCUCUCUCCCUCAUGGGGCAUAUUUUUGUGCACGUCUAUUAAAUAUUACAAUGCCUUAACAGAAAAUAUGAGGGAGGAAUUUAACUAAUUCUGUUGGGCAAUGUUUCUGGGUUGACUUCUCAGCCGGCCUGUUUAGUGGAUAUGUGGACUGCAAUUGAUUGCUUAACACAAAAUGUUAUAUGAUAAGGAUGUUCAGUUGUGUAGAAUUUUAGCUAUGCUAUUGGUUUUAACUAAUAAAAAGUUAUGUAAUUUCGAUUGUUUGUGGUAAAGGGAGUGCUACCAGUCUUAAUGUAACACGUUAUUCUUUGUCUAAUUUUUCGUUACAAUGAUUUUGCAUCUGUUGUGCAUGUGACUCAUAUAGAGUGGAACACAGGCCCUAGAUCAAAUGGGCCGAUGCCGGCGUGGGUUUAAUUCAUUGUCUGGUUGCUAGGGACGUUGAAUGGGUUAGGGAUGCGGGGGCAACGCCCCCGCGGUACGGUGCAUGGGUAUUUUCUGUACGGGCCUUAAAGUUUUAUAUGGGUCCAGGCUAUGGUUAGUAUAAAUAAUAUGUUGUAACCCUAUUUUUCACAACUGAAUAAAGAAAUCUCCGCUUCGCACUCGUGGACGUAGGCACAUCGUCGAACCACGUAAAAUUCUUGUGUUGAUUUCCGUUUUUCAUCUCUUUAAUAUUGCGCAUAAAAUCCAACAACUGGUAUCAGAGCCAGGUUCACAUGGCGAGUUCUUCGAUUGCAAAAUUUGAUGUGAUGAAGUUUGACGGAUCUGGGAACUUCGAAUUAUGGCAGCGAAGGGUGAAGGAUUUGUUGGCGCAACAAGGGAUGAUGAAGGCACUAUCUGGGAAGAAACCAGAGAGUACGUCAGAUACCAAUUGGGAAGAGCUCGAGGCGCGAGCAGUUGGUACAAUUCGGCUUUAUUUGGCGGACGAAAUCAUGUAUCACGUCAUGGACGUUGAGUCUCCGACGGAGGUUUGGGAGAAAUUGGAGAGUCGUUAUAUGUCAAAGUCUCUCACGAACAAGCUGCAUCUAAAGCAGCGACUGUAUGGGCUGAAGAUGUUGGAGGGUACGGAUCUGAUUCAACACACCAAUGUGUUCAAUCAGAUCAUCAGCGAUCUACUGCGACUUGAAAUCAAGUUUGAUGAUGAAGACAAGGCAAUGAUUUUGUUGUGCUCACUGCCUCCUUCGUACGACCAUCUGGUGACCACGUUGACGUGGGGUAAAGAGAGACUCGAAUUGGAGGAAGUCAUAUCAGCCCUGUUAGCCUACAACCAGCGGAAACUGCAUACUGGUGAAACUUCACAGGGUGAAGGGUUGAUCGUAAAAGGCUUCCAGGAUCGUGGGAGAAGGAAGAACAGAGGUGUUUCUUUUAGAGGGAAUACAAGAUCAAAAUCUAGGAAUCAAAAUAAGAAAAACGUCAAGUGCUACAAAUGCCAUCAGAUGGGCCACUUUUAGAGAGACUGUCCCAAUAAGAAGUAGAGUGAUGAAAGGAAAGGUGAUGGGUCCUCAAACUCAGCUAGUGUUGCAGAAGGAGACUCGGAUUCUGGAGAUGGAGACAUGUUAUCAGUCUCUGCAGGUAAUUCUGUAAAAUUAAAUGACCGUUGGGUACUUGAUUCAGCCUGUUCAUAUCACAUGUGUCCUCAUCGGGAUUGGUUUCAUUCAUAUCGUUCUAGUAAUUUUGGAUCUGUUCUGAUGGGUAAUGAUGCAUCAUGUAAGGUCAUUGGAAUGGGGUCCAUAAAAUUUAAAAUGUUCAAUGAUGUGAUAAGGACCUUGGAAAAUGUUAGGCAUGUACCUGAGUUGAAAAAGAAUCUAAUUUCUUUAGGCACUUUAGACACAAACGGUUACUCUUAUAAGUCAGAGUGUGGGGCUCUAACAGUUAAGAAAGGGGCUAUGAUUGUGAUGAAGGGUUAGAAAUUAGUAGGGAAUAUCUACAAACUACUCGAGGAUACAGUUGUAGGUGGAGUUGCUACAGCAAAAUCAGAGUCAGAUGACGCUCUUCUAUGACAUGCGACUGGGGCAUAUAGGAGAACGUGGCAUGGUUGAGCUUCACAAGAGGAAUUUGUUGAAGGGGGUAAAAUCAUACAAGUUGAAUUUCUGCAAGUUUUGUGUACUUGGAAAACAGUCCAGAGUACAGUUCAAGAUGGGAAAGCACAAGGCAGAGGGAAUUCUUGAUUAUGUGCACUCAAAUGUUUGGGGACCAGGGAGGGAGUUGUCCAAAGGUGGAUCUCAGUACUUUAUUACUUUCAUUGAUGACUUCUCUAGAAAAGUUUGGGUAUAUUUCAUGAAGCACAAGUCUGAAGCCUUUGCCAAGUUCAAAUUAUGGAAAGCAGAAGUAGAGAACCAA
rnacentral:lncRNA from 1 species